rnacentral:rRNA from 1 species
CCUACGGGAGGCAGCAGUAGGGAAUCUUGCGCAAUGGACGAAAGUCUGAUGGAGCAACGCCGCGUGAGUGAAGAAGGUUUUCGGCUCGUAAAGCUCUGUUGGUAGUGAAGAAAGAUAGCUGUAGUAACUAGCCUUUAUUUGACGGUACUUACUUAGAAAGUACCGGCUAACUCCGUGCCAGCAGCCGCGGUAAUACGUAGGUGGCAAGCGUUGUCCGGAUUUAUUGGGCGUAAAGCGAGUGCAGGCGGUUCAAUAAGUCUGAGGUGAAAGCCCUCGGCUCAACCGGAGAAUUGCAUCAGAAACUGUUGAACUGGAGUGCAUAAGAGGAGAGUGGAACUCCAUGUGUAGUGGUGGAAUGCGUAGAUAUAUGGAAGAACACCAGUGGCGAAGGCGGCUCUCUGGUCUGCAACUGACGCUGAGGCUCGAAAGCAUGGGUAGCGAACAGGAUUAGAUACCCGAGUAGUC